rnacentral:rRNA from 1 species
UACGAACUGUGCAAACGUUAUUCGGAAUCACUGGGCUUAAAGGGCGCGUAGGCGGCCCGCCGCGUCCGGGGUGAAAUCCUCCCGCUCAACGGGAGAACGGCCUCGGAUACGGGCGGGCUGGAGGCGGGUAGGGGCAGGCGGAACUGUGGGUGGAGCGGUGAAAUGCGUUGAUAUCCACAGGAACUCCGGUGGCGAAGGCGGCCUGCUGGACCCGAUCUGACGCUGAGGCGCGAAAGCCAGGGGAGCGAACGGG